GACGAGCAUCACAAACGUUAUUCGGAAUUACUGGGCUUAAAGGGUGCGUAGGCGGUGCAGCAAGUCGGGAGUGAAAUCCCACAGCUCAACUGUGGAAUUGCUUUCGAUACUGCUGUGCUUGAGUGAGAUAGAGGUAAGCGGAACUUAGGGUGGAGCGGUGAAAUGCGUUGAUAUCCUAAGGAACACCGGUGGCGAAGGCGGCUUACUGGGUCUCUACUGACGCUGAUGCACGAAAGCCAGGGUAGCGAACGGGG
rnacentral:rRNA from 1 species